AUCGUUUCCUGAAGCCCUGGUUUGCUUUCAACGGAGCUGAACUUCCUCGACAUCUGUUCAUGCAAGUAAGGCCCUGCUAGUAUGAUAUGGCGUAUCAAAAACUUGAGUCAGUGUAGAUCAACAAAGGGAUUUUCAAAAAGCUAUUCAGUUUUUUCAUACGGCAUGCUGAUGAUGGGGACUUCACCAACGCUGUUGGAAUUGUCUACAAAGACACACUCUUUUUCCUCCUUGGUGAAGGGAUGCGCUUCUGGGUGGUGCAGCAGAUGAUUCACACUUAUGCUUUCAGCGCUUACACUGGUCGGCCUAAUGCUUUGAUGGUUAGCCUCAUACAAGAGUGGAGUGACCUGUCUUAUGCUGUGAUAUCUCUUUGGCUUUCUGACCUAGAAACGGACGAUGCUGUCACACUCAGGAUGUUCUACCAUUUGCAUACAGUAGAUAACUCGCUGUGGAGCUAUGAACGUGCUGAUCAGGCACUCGGGGAAUUUGAAGCUAAGUUUAAGAAGUUGAUGACUUUUAAGGACAGUCCGGGUGGGUAUGUCUUUAGCUUUCUUGCAGGCCGAAGGCUGUUCUUGCUAAAACAUCGCCGGAUUCCUGUUUUGAGAGCGUUGAUGCGUAGGUGGCUACUGGAAGCUUUUUCUGGAUUUUCUGAAGUCCGAUGAAGACAACUGAUGGGAACAGGGAGGAAGUCUUGCUGUGUGAAGAGUGAGAAGGAGUCUUUUGCUGUGUGAAGAGUGAGAAGAAACAUCUUGUGCUACGAAGAGUGAAGAAUGAAGGGGGAAGAUAGUCUCCUAUGGAUCUGCUAGCUCUUUAUCUAGUUUCUUUUCUAGAACCGCGGCUCUUUAUCUAGCUGCUCUUUAUCUCGUUCUAUGCAAUGACAAGAGUGAUGAAUGAACUGGGAAGAUAUUCUCUUAUGUAACUGCUAGAAAAAGGAUAAUGCUACCUGGGAAGAUAUUCUCUUAUGUGUGAAGAGUGAGGAGUCUUUUGCUGUGUGAAGAGUGAGAAGAAACAUCUCUUGUGCUACUGGUGUACGAAGUGUGAUGAAGGAAGGGGGA